UUCUGUUGUCCUUCAUUCCACCGGAGUCUGUCUCAUAACUAACCAGAUUUCAGUGGAGUGAAGCACAAGAGACA
rnacentral:pre_miRNA from 1 species